UCUUUGAUUGAAUAACUGUGUGAUUGUUGAGGAUGGGCACGUUAUUGCGGCAGGAAGAAACCGGACUAAUGAGACACGAAAUGCAACAAGACAUGCAGAGAUGGACGUUCUUGAUGUUCUUCUUGAAUAGUGGCAGAGGACAGGAUUUUCAGCUGCAGAAGUUGCAGAAAAGUUUUCAGCAUGCUCCCUUUAUGUGACAUGUGAGCCAUGCAUAAUGUAUGCAGCAGCAUUAUCGAUCACUGGUAUGAAGGAAGUAUAUUGUGGCCAUGCAAAUGAUAAAUUUGGAGGCUGUGGCUUGAUACUGUCGUUGCAUUCAAGUACCUACGAGGCAUGCAUUAGCUCCAAAGCCUCACAUGCCAUGGGUUAAUCAUCAGGCUGCUUAUUCAAUCUGCAUGCAUUGAUUCUUCCUGUUGAAUCCUCUCAUACCUUUGCACAACUAGGUAGCAUACGAUCUUUCAGGUAAUGACCAAUAGGUUUCUCGACCAGGAGGACAAGCUUUUUCCUCGCAGCAUUGACAAGCUGGUCAAAACCUCACUUUUGGUCCAUAGAAGAAGCCACCUCGUGUG